AAUACCCGAUGUUAUAGUCCUACCGCAUGAUGGGAUUAUUAAAGAAUUUCGGUAUGGGAUGGGGAUGCGUUCCAUUAGUUAGUUGGCGGGGUAACGGCCCACCAAGACAACGAUGGAUAGGGGUUCUGAGAGGAAGGUCCCCCACAUUGGAACUGAGACACGGUCCAAACUCCUACGGGAGGCAGCAGUGAGGAAUAUUGGUCAAUGGACGAGAGUCUGAACCAGCCAAGUAGCGUGAAGGAUGACUGCCCUAUGGGUUGUAAACUUCUUUUAUAUGGGAAUAAAACGUUCCACGUGUGGGAUUUUGUAUGUACCAUAUGAAUAAGGAUCGGCUAACUCCGUGCCAGCAGCCGCGGUAAUACGGAGGAUCCGAGCGUUAUCCGGAUUUAUUGGGUUUAAAGGGAGCGUAGGUGGAUUGUUAAGUCAGUUGUGAAAGUUUGCGGCUCAACCGUAAAAUUGCAGUUGAAACUGGCAGUCUUGAGUACAGUAGAGGUGGGCGGAAUUCGUGGUGUAGCGGUGAAAUGCUUAGAUAUCACGAAGAACUCCGAUUGCGAAGGCAGCUCACUGGACUGCAACUGACACUGAGGCUCGAAAGUGUGGGUAUCAAACAGGAUUAGAUACCCUGGUAGUCCACACAGUAAACGAUGAAUACUCGCUGUUUGCGAUAUACAGCAAGCGGCCAAGC
rnacentral:rRNA from 1 species